ACAUCUUUGACUAUUUUCUGUAAUGCUGGUUUGGUGCAGAUAUAUUGUUUCAAUUUUUCCAUCUGUGGAAGAUUUUUAUUUGACCUUCAGUUAUAAAGGAG